CGGCAAUCCAGCAAAAACAGCUAGUUGGACUGUUUAUUUAUGUCCCUCAAAUGAGCUGAUUAUGAAUUCCUUGGAUGAGUCGCUAAGUUGCAGUGACUCUCAGGUUUUCCCAUCUGUGAGAUAAAGUGGACGAAAUUCCUGUUUUGAUCCGUUCUUGAGCAGCAAAUCAGCUUCUGCCAUACUUCUACGCCUGCCGCCUGAGCUCAUUCGGUGUUCUCUUUGUUGCUGUCCAUUAUGUUUUCUCAGGCUGCGCUACAGAUCUGUUUUCUCCACCUAUUGAACCCCCCGUCCUCAAAACAGUGAGAAACUUCUGCAAUGCAUGAUAAGCCGCAUCUACCUAAUAUUAUCGACAGACUUUUUCUGCCAGGAAAAGAAAUGCCCAAUGAAAGCAAAUCAAUGGGCCAUGGAAGCAGGUCUUCCCAGCAGUGACCUAAUCUGCCUGUUUCAAAAGAAGAGGUUACAAUGACAUGAACCGUGAGACGGGAGAGAGAGCCCGCUAAGCUUGAAUCCCCGUCUGUAUGCUUACCUGCUAGGUCACAUCUCUGAGCUCCAAUGUCCUCAUCUGUGAAACCGUAAGAGCGAUAGUCACCUGACCUGGCGCUUCAG
rnacentral:lncRNA from 1 species